rnacentral:rRNA from 1 species
GAACGCUGGCGGCAUGCCUAACACAUGCAAGUCGAACGAGAUCUUCGGAUCUAGUGGCGCACGGGUGAGUAACGCGUGGGAACCUACCUUUUAGUACGGGACAACGUUUGGAAACGAACGCUAAUACCGUAUAUGCCCUCCGGGGGAAAGGUCAGCCGCUAAAAGAGGGGCCCGCGUCUGAUUAGCUUGUUGGUAAGGUAAUGGCUUACCAAGGCUUCGAUCAGUAGCUGGUCUGAGAGGAUGAUCAGCCACACUGGGACUGAGACACGGCCCAGACUCCUACGGGAGGCAGCAGUGGGGAAUAUUGGACAAUGGAGGCAACUCUGAUCCAGCAAUGCCGCGUGUGUGAUGAAGGCCUUAGGGUUGUAAAGCACUUUCAACGGUGAAGAUGAUGACGGUAGCCGUAGAAGAAGCCCCGGC